AUGUAGAUACAUUCAACUCAUGUUUCUGACCCUUCCCGAAUGUUGCUUUAAUGUCUGCUGUGCCCAUGUUAGUUUGCCAGGACAGUCUCCGACCGGUAUGGGUACCAAGGUAAUAUGACCUGAACUUCUCACAUAGUGCUGACAUUUCAGCAGGCAAGUUGCAAGUAACAUUAGGCUGAGUUGGCCAAGAUCCUGUUGUCAAAACCUGGACAACCAGUGUAGGUCCAUCUCCUAGCUCAGGAUGGCUUGCAUAAAACCCUUGCAUAGUAUCCUGGGAGGUCUUCAUGUCAGUAAACAUGCCUUCUAAUUUCGAGGUGAAUUGAUAUCCACAUUCAGUCUUGAGUUUGACUAUCAAACUUCUCUCUGCAUCGUCAGAGACAGUUUUUCCUGAUAACAGUCGCUUAGCCAAAUGCUGUUUAUAAUACUUCUCAAAUACAUCCUUCUCCUGCAAGUAGCGGAACAGCAUCAUCACCUUGUCAAGAAUAACCUCCACAUCCUCCUCACUAACUCCCUUUAGACCUUUUCUAAGCUUGUCAUCCACAAACAAUGAAAUGAAUUCAGGAGAGCGAGCAUUCAAAUUAAUAAAAUAUUCAAAAGAGGAAUUCAAAGCAUUCUGGAAUGUCUUGUCAUUGCUGAAUGCCAAACUUAUGAUGC
rnacentral:misc_RNA from 1 species